rnacentral:rRNA from 1 species
UGGGGGAUAUUGCACAAUGGGGGGAACCCUGAUGCAGCGACGCCGCGUGGGUGAAGAAGCGCUCCGGCGCGUAAAGCCCUGUCAGCAGGGAAGAAGGUGACGGUACCUGACCAAGAAGCCCCGGCUAACUACGUGCCAGCAGCCGCGGUAAUACGUAGGGGGCAAGCGUUAUCCGGAUUUACUGGGUGUAAAGGGGGCGCAGACGGCUGUGCAAGCCAGGAGUGAAAGCCCGGGGCCCAACCCCGGGACUGCUCUUGGAACUGCAUGGCUGGAGUGCAGGAGGGGCAGGCGGAAUUCCUGGUGUAGCGGUGAAAUGCGUAGAUAUCAGGAGGAACACCGGUGGCGAAGGCGGCCUGCUGGACUGCAACUGACGUUGAGGCCCGAAAGCGUGGGGAGCAAACAGGAUUAGAUACC